CAGCCGGACAUGCGCCUGAUUGCAGCGGAGGCUGUGAAAGAGAGGUUUCUCUCCUCCCCUCAGGAUGCCUGGAUAAUGCACCGCCAAACCGGACCGGGAGGUGCGAGAGAGAGAGAAAAUCCAGCCGGCGGGGCCGUGGGGCGCUACCGAAGAAUUUGGCCUAUUUGAGACAUCCUGAAGAGAACAAGCAUGGAUCGUUCCACGCCUUUGACCCCUUAGGAAGCUCCCACCACCUGAGGAGGCAGGAGUGGGAGUGGCUAACUGGAGGACUGCCCCAGAGCAGAGUGGCUUCAAACCAGAGAUGGAAGUGCCAUGUUUCAGCCCUGGAGGUCAGACAGGAAGUGGGCAUCCAUCACGCUCCUCUCUCCCUCACAAUUCGAGAAACCGGAUUUCCGGACAGCUUUGAAAUGUCCGUUUCUUCCCGAGUUAAGCAAUGCAGGGUAAAGAGGGAUGUGUCCAUAAUUAGAUGCCAUCUAACUUGCAGGAAAAACUUCUCUCUUACUGCUAUGUUUUGUUUUUAAAUACACCAAUAAAUGCAUCUUGAUUUUUCUUCUGA